UACGAAGGGGGCGAGCGUUGUUCGGAUUUACUGGGCGGAAAGGGCGCGCAGGCGGCUUAUUUUGUCAGGCGUGAAAGCCCCGGGCUUAACCUGGGAACUGCGUUUGAUACGGAUGGGCUAGAGUUCGGGAGAGGAGCGUGGAAUUCCCGGUGUAGCGGUGAAAUGCGCAGAUAUCGGGAAGAACACCCGUGGCGAAGGCGGCUCUCUGGGACGGUACUGACGCUGAGACGCGAAAGCGUGGGGAGCGAACAGG
rnacentral:rRNA from 1 species